GACGGAGGAUGCAAGCGUUAUCCGGAAUGAUUGGGCGUAAAGCGUCCGCAGGUGGCAGUUCAAGUCUGCUGUCAAAGACCGGGGCUUAACUUCGGAAAGGCAGUGGAAACUGAACAGCUAGAGUAUGGUAGGGGCAGAGGGAAUUCCUGGUGUAGCGGUGAAAUGCGUAGAGAUCAGGAGGAACACCGGUGGCGAAGGCGGUUCUCUGGGAAUAUCCUGACGCUGAGGAGCGAAAGUGUGGGGAGCGAACAGG
rnacentral:rRNA from 1 species